UACGUAGGGGGCAGCGUUGUCCGGAUUUAUUGGGCGUAAAGAGCGUGUAGGCGGCCAUUCAGGUCAGCUGUGAAACUCGAGGCUCAACCUCGAGACGUCGGUUGAACCGUUUGGCUAGAGUCCGGAAGAGGAGAGUGGAAUUCCCGGUGUAGCGGUGAAAUGCGCAGAUAUCGGGAAGAACACCCGUGGCGAAGGCGGCUCUCGUCGGACGGUACUGGACGCUGAGACGCGAAAGCGGUGGGGAGCCGAACGAGGA
rnacentral:rRNA from 1 species